rnacentral:rRNA from 1 species
UCUCGGCUCUUGCAUCGAUGAAGAACGUAGUGAAAUGCGAUACUUGGUGUGAAUUGCAGAAUCUCGUGAACCAUUGAGUCUUUGAACGCAAGUUGUGCCCGAGGCUUUGUGCCGAGGGCACGCCUGCUUGGGCGUCAUGGCAUCAUCGCCUUCGCUCCUUGCUU